rnacentral:rRNA from 1 species
AAAGCCAUUCUCAGUUCGGACUGUAGGCUGCAACUCGCCUACACGAAGUCGGAAUCGCUAGUAAUCGCGGAUCAGCACGCCGCGGUGAAUACGUUCCCGGGCCUUGUACACACCGCCCGUCACACCAUGAGAGUUUGUAACACCCGAAGCCGGUGGCGUAACCCUUUUAGGGAGCGAGCCGUCUAAGGUGGGACAAAUGAUUAGGGUGAAGUCGUAACAAGGUAGCCGUAGGAGAACCUGCGGCUGGAUCACCUCCUUU